CGCAUGAGAACCGGUGUUCGCUUCUCGUUGCCCUGCUCCCGCGUCACGCCCAGGCGUGAGAGGAGGGUGAUGGAAGUGAUCUGAGAAAUACGGUCUGAACUUGAUCAGGUUAACGCCUGCGAAAGGACUUCAUGCUUUGCGCUC
rnacentral:ncRNA from 11 species